ACGCUCGACACCUACGUGAGGCAGCAGUGGGGAAUAUUGCACAAUGGGGGAAACCCUGAUGCAGCGACGCCGCGUGGAGGAAGAAGGUCUUCGGAUUGUAAACUCCUGUUGUUGGGGAAAAAGAGGAUGGUACCCAACAAGGAAGUGACGGCUAACUACGUGUCAGCAGCCGCGGUAAUCUGAGCGGGCUGGCAAGGC
rnacentral:rRNA from 1 species